rnacentral:rRNA from 2 species
GACGUGCUUGCACUGAUUUCAACAAUGAAGCGAGUGGCGAACUGGUGAGUAACACGUGGGGAAUCUGCCCAGAAGCAGGGGAUAACACUUGGAAACAGGUGCUAAUACCGUAUAACAACAAAAUCCGCAUGGAUUUUGUUUGAAAGGUGGCUUCGGCUAUCACUUCUGGAUGAUCCCGCGGCGUAUUAGUUAGUUGGUGAGGUAAAGGCCCACCAAGACGAUGAUACGUAGCCGACCUGAGAGGGUAAUCGGCCACAUUGGGACUGAGACACGGCCCAAACUCCUACGGGAGGCAGCAGUAGGGAAUCUUCCACAAUGGACGAAAGUCUGAUGGAGCAAUGCCGCGUGAGUGAAGAAGGGUUUCGGCUCGUAAAACUCUGUUGUUAAAGAAGAACACCUUUGAGAGUAACUGUUCAAGGGUUGACGGUAUUUAACCAGAAAGCCACGGCUAACUACGUGCCAGCAGCCGCGGUAAUACGUAGGUGGCAAGCGUUGUCCGGAUUUAUUGGGCGUAAAGCGAGCGCAGGCGGUUUUUUAAGUCUGAUGUGAAAGCCUUCGGCUUAACCGGAGAAGUGCAUCGGAAACUGGGAGACUUGAGUGCAGAAGAGGACAGUGGAACUCCAUGUGUAGCGGUGGAAUGCGUAGAUAUAUGGAAGAACACCAGUGGCGAAGGCGGCUGUCUAGUCUGUAACUGACGCUGAGGCUCGAAAGCAUGGGUAGCGAACAGGAUUAGAUACCCUGGUAGUCCAUGCCGUAAACGAUGAGUGCUAAGUGUUGGAGGGUUUCCGCCCUUCAGUGCUGCAGCUAACGCAUUAAGCACUCCGCCU